UAAGCUGCGUCGUACCGCAUCCGAGGUCUCGUGGCUAUACGGGAGUCCGUUCCAACGUUUCGGCAGUGCUCCCGAAAAAACUCAGAACAAGGGCGCGGUGAUUCGUUCAUUCUUUACUGAGGUGAUUCGUGAAUACAGGUACGGUGAAGUGGUUUAACGAAAGCAAAGGUUUCGGCUUCAUUACCCCGAAAGACGGCAGCAAGGACGUGUUUGUGCACUACUCUGCCAUCACGGGUAAUGGGUUUAAGAGCCUGGCGGAGGGUCAGCAAGUUUCGUUCGAGGUUCAGCAGACCCCGAAGGGCCCGGCGGCCGCUAACGUCGCUCCGGUCUGAUUUCCAUCUCGGAAAAGUUUUUUACGAGACCCCGCCCAGGCGGGGUUUCUUUU
rnacentral:sRNA from 1 species